UACGUAGGGUGCGAGCGUUAAUCGGAAUUACUGGGCGUAAAGCGUGCGCAGGCGGUUCGUUGUGUCGGCGGUGAAAGCCCCGGGCUUAACCUGGGAAUGGCCGUUGAAACUGGCGAACUGGAGUGUGGCAGAGGGGGGUGGAAUUCCGCGUGUAGCAGUGAAAUGCGUAGAUAUCAGGAGGAACACCGAUGGCGAAGGCAGGUCUCUGGGCUGACACUGACGCUCAUGCACGAAAGCGUGGGGAGCAAACAGG
rnacentral:rRNA from 1 species